CUCUCUCACCCGCUCCCCUCCCGUGUGUGCUGAUCGAGCGUGGGACAGUGUGGGUGCAGCGAGUGAGCUCCCUAUAAAAGCGGCUGUUCCCGUCUCCGCUGGUCGCAUUUCUUGUUGUCCUUACACAUUCAAGCGUCUCUUCUGAUCUUGUAUUUGACUUGUUAUUCCCAAACACCUGCAAUUUCGCAGUCAAUCCACAGGAGGAAACCACCGUCUAUGGUGAUACCUGAAGCCUCAAAUAUGUCUCGUACCGAAGAGGUGCACCGUAUAACGGAAAAUGUCUAUAAGUCCAUCAUGGAGCAGUUCAACCCCUGCCUUAGGAACUUCGUGGCCAUGGCCAAGACCUAUGAGAAGGCACUAUCCAGUGUGACUUUCGCUGCCAAGGGCUACUUCGACGCGCUGGUGCGGAUGGGGGAGCUGGCCAGCGAGAGUCAUGGCUCUAAGGAUCUUGAAGAGGCAGCAUGGGAUGUCCUGUUUCAGAUGGCUGAGGUACACCGGCAGAUCCAGAUCCAGCUCGAAGAGAUGUUGAGGUCCUUCCACAAUGAGCUGCUGACAGAACUGGAAAAGAAGGUGGAGUUGGAUGCACGCUACCUAAAUGCGGCGCUGAAGAAGUACCAGAUGGAGCACAAGAGCAAAGGCGAGAGCCUGGAGCGCUGUCAGGCCGAACUGAAGAAGCUGCGCCGCAAGAGCCAGGGCAGCAAGCACUCCUCCAAGUACGGAGACAAGGAGAUGCAGUGUGUGGAGACCAUCAGCGGCAAGCAGACCGAGCUGGACAGCUAUGUGGCCGACAGCUACAAGGCAGCCCUGUCGGAGGAGAGGCGGAGGUACUGCUUCCUGGUCGACCGCCAGUGCGCCGCGGCCAAGAACGCCAGCGCCUACCACAUCAAGGGUAAGGAGCUGCUGUCCCACAAGCUCCCAAUGUGGCAACAGGCCUGUGCCGACCCCUCUAAGCUGCCUGAAAGGGCCAUGCUGCUGGCCCAGCAGAUGACCGCCGGCCUGGGCACGCUUAGCAGCGGCGGCACCCUCCACAGCUCCAAGGGAGGCCUACACAUCUCUGACCCCAUCCCGGGAGCCAAGCCGCUGCCUGUGCCUGCAGAGCUGGCUGCCCUCAUGAACCAGCAGAGGGGGAUGACCAUGGAUGGCAUGCCCAUAGUGAACGGCGCAGGAGGGGCUCACGGUGGGGACGACUACCAGCACUGGAUGGAGAGCAAGGCUGCCCAGGCCAAGGCUGCCAGCGCGCAGGCCCACAGGCAAGGUGCCGAGGUCUACUCCAACACCCUGCCUUCCCGCAAGGUGGCACUCACCAAGACCAAGACCCCCAUUGCCGAGACCCAGACACUGCCCCGGUCUAGUUCCAUGGCCGCUGGGCUGGAGCGCCAAGGUCGGACCCGUGUGCAGUCCAUCUACUCGCACGCGGCCGGGGACAACAGCACCCUGCUCAGCUUCAGCGAGGGCGACGUCAUCACCCUGCUGGUGCCAGAGGCCCGCGACGGCUGGCACUACGGAGAGAAUGAGAAAAACCGCAUGAGAGGCUGGUUCCCCUUCUCAUACACACGAGUCAUCGCGGAACCAGACCCCGCCACAGCACGCCACUUACAAGUCCGCCUCCAGCAUGGUAGAAGCAGCAGCACAGGGAACCUUCUGGAGAGGGACGGUGUGGCGCUCCCGGUGAGUGACUACGGCAUGUCUGCCCGUCUGAUGGCACACGGCUCACAGCAGAGCAUGGCACACGGCUCACAGCAGAGCAUGGCACACGGCCGCCAGAGGCCCUACAGCGUCGCAGUGCCCACGUACUCACAGCAUCAAGCACAGGAAGAAUACGAGGCCCGUUUCCCUACAAGCUGGACCAGCAGUCCCUAAUAACUAGGGGGGGAAAGUUUGUGGACCCAGAGCUAAAGAGUGUUUUAAAGUUCGGAGGUCAAAUUGAUUUCGACAGUGUGAGGACUAAGAGUGAGGGAAAGCAAGAGAGAGAGACAGAGAGAGAGAGAGAGAGAGAGAGCGAGAGACACACAAACAGACACAGAACACAACCCUGCGAUAGGACAGACCCUCCACCUGCCACCCGCCACCCUCUUCCUCCUCUCCUCUCCUCUCCCACCUCACCUCACCUCACUGCUAUCCAUCCCUCCAAGCUGGUUUCUGUUCACUCGUUCCUCUAGUUUCUAGUGUCUCUCCCCCUCCCACACUCCACCCACCCUCCACCUUCACCUUCACCUGGUGCUCCUUCACUGGGCAAGCAAGCCAAGCCCAGCGGGCAAGGGAAUGUUGCUGGUGGAACCAGAACACUGAAUGCAGAACCUACCAUAACUGACAGCAAGAACCCUCAUGGUCCAGUAGAACCUUGCCCGACCCGAGGACUGCUUUUUUUUUUUUUUAAAUAAAAAAGGUGAAAUGACCGGAAUGAACUGGUUCCUGAGGAAUCUGUUUUUCUUUCUUGCUUGUCUUUCAUGCAUGCACAUGUUCGUACAGACAUGGCAAUGCCCUGAUAUGGACAGAUACAAAAACCAACAGAGAACAAGGACUGUAUAUAAGAAUGUAUUGUUUAUGUAAAGAGGCAUUAUGUCACAUGUUGUGAAAAGACUCCAAGUGUAAUGAUCUGUAAUAAUGACUUUAUAUUGCAGUAGAAAGUUGUAUACUUUAUAUGGCAAUAUAAACUUUGUUUUUUUUAAAUGACAAUACAACAACUACAAUGAAUUCCAGCAAUUGUUUAGAAGGUUGCACAUCACAGAGAACACUUGACUAUUCCUCAUAGGAUGAUCAUUACGUUCCUCCAGACAUGUAUUUGAGUUUAUGUUUUGCUUCAGAUGACAGCAGUUAUGGAGUUACCCCUCAUGAUACCAAGGAGAGGGGAACAUCUUUGACGUGUAACUUUAUGGGUCAUGCAUGAAAGAAAAGACACAGAUUCUCAGGUGCUCUGUACCCAGAUACUGGUAUCAAAUUUAGACCCUGUUGCCAAAGCAACACCCUCCACUAUCCGACUGCACUCAGAUGAUGUUAGCAGAUGGGAUUGUGUUCUUGCCAGUCACACUGGUGCACAGUACCACUAGUCAUUAUUAUGCUAUAGAACUUUACAUUAAAAUAUAUGAAUACAAAUAUUUGAACAACUUUGAACACACAUGGUGCAGUACUAAGUUGUCAGUGUAACUUUAGCAGUCAGUUUUUCAAAUACACUAUCUCUUGUACAUAGUUGUAUCAGUUUUGUCAAUAAUAAAGAACAUAUUUGAGUGCAUUGCUACCCUUGGACCAUAUGGGCAUACCUUUAUGCUAACAGUCGCCCAUGUAUGUAAUUUCAUGAUGAAACAUAACUAGUAGUUAUAGUGGUUGUUUUUAUUUGUUGGUUCAGUAGCCCUUGCGGGGCACAAUAAUUUAUCAACUGUAGAUUGCUUUGAAGAAAUCACAUAGGCAAUGUAUAUAAACCAAUGGCAAUAAUAAUAUAAAUUGGACCAAAUUUGCUUAAUUUUUCAUUUAUUCUGUGACAUUUUUUGCGAAUGGAAAAAAAUGUGCAAUAUGUGAUAGGUAAGGGGUUGAUUUUCUUAACCACUACCUUCACGCUUUGUUUUUGUUUUUUUUGGGAGGCAUUUUGUUCAUGAUUCAUGUCACCUAGCUUUCUGGUGCUACUGUCUCUGAUAAAGACCCUCUCUCACUAGGCAGAGCAUACAGAGAACCUGAGAGCCAGUAAGGAAGGUAAAAGCACCGCUUAUAGUCAGUGCUUAAUCAGUCUGAGUCCAGACCAGGAGAUCAGAAGGCUGUAUCACAACUCCCCCCACCUCUGCCUGAUAACCCCCACCCUGCUAACCCCAACCUUUCUGAUGUUCCUCAAUCGCAGACAUCACACACACACACACACACACACACACACAUACACACACACACACACACACACACACACACACAUGCACGCAUACAUACUUACAUACACAAUGGGGUCAAAAAAUAUGUCCCUAUUUUCAAAGAUAUAAAAAGAUAGAUACCCUAACCCUUCAAAAGGCCUUGAAUGUUUCAGCGUCUCUCUCUUGCUUUCUCAGAUUGUGCGGCGUGCAUGUGUAUGUGUGAGAGAAUGUGUGUGUAUGGUAUGAGAAUGUGCUUGUGAGUUCAUGUAUGACUGACCCAAAGAAUUCCCUCCAACCCAACCCCAACCCCUCUAUUUCUGUUUCAAUGAAUUCAGAGACAAAAGCAAAGCGUCCAAGACGGGAAGCUGUCAAUGUUUCUUCUUUGUCCAUUAAAAAACUAAAAGCCCCAAAGGUAAUGCCAUUCCCCAUCCCGCACCUCCCUGUUUCACCUUCUUUUUGGGAAUGCACACCUUUUCUCUGUUGUAAAGGUCUUGACAAUGUACAUAAGAGCUACAAUAAUAAUAUUAUGACUGAAUAUUAUUAGUACUACUGCUAUGAAAUGCAUGUGUCUGAGGAGACUGCAAAAAAACAGUGUGACAUUGUACCAUGAUGACCGCAAAAUGUAUGGUGACUUUCUACUUCUGAAAAUCGAAAUAAACCUUUCUUCAGACGA